GUGCAAAUUGUUAUGUGCAUAUAAUGUUUAGUGUAAAUCUUAUUUUCUUAUAUUUAAAACUUAACUACUUUAUAUGAGAGUAUUAAAUACACUACUUUUUAGUACACCAAAUAUAUUAUAUAAUUUAUUUAUAUAUUGACCUCUAAAAAAAAAAUUUUUUUCUGGAUCUAUCAUUUUGAGUCUUAAAGCCUAACUUAUUUCAAUAUUGAACCACUAAUAAAGGUGUUUACCUGCAAACUUUAUGUUCCAAAAGAUAUGUUUAUAUCCAAACUUCAUAUCUAAAUGUUAUUUACGCCUAAACACAAAAAAGUACAUCGUCUCGUAUUGAUUUAGACAAGGUAUUUGUGUUGUCAUGACAGAAAUCUGAGAUGUGAUCGAAAAACCAAGGAUUUACUUUCCUGAACAUUCCCUCUGCCCUUUUUUUUUUUUU
rnacentral:misc_RNA from 1 species